UACGAAGGGUGCAAACGUUGCUCGGAAUUAUUGGGCGUAAAGCGCACGUAGGCGGCCUUGUAAGUCGGAUGUGAAAUCCCUCGGCUUAACCGAGGACGUGCAUCCGAAACUGUGAGGCUCGAGUAUGGAAGAGGGUCGCAGAAUUCCAGGUGUAGCGGUGAAAUGCGUAGAUAUCUGGAGGAACACCGGUGGCGAAGGCGGCAUCCUGGACCGGUAUUGACGCUGAGGCGCGAAAGCUAGGGGAG
rnacentral:rRNA from 1 species